CAGAUACAUCAUUAUUCCGUCACAUCAGGAGGACAGCAAUCAAAAGUAUUCUCGCCAGGCUGCAUUGGGAACUGGAGGAACAGGAUUUAUGACAUUUUUGAAAAAUUUGAGAACCUCCGUCAUGAGUGCCUUCUACAGAAUCGACGAGGGAACGGAGAUUAACUGAGAAGUAUCUGCCCUUCUGGUUCCUGCAUUCCCCAAACGACGUUAACCACUUCGUGCCGGGGUACUCGGUUUCGGGGACAUAGGCUUUUACACGAAGCCGGGGAGCCCGAAGCCAGACAAAAGAGCUUUGCCUUGUAACAAUAGACUCAGAACAAAAGACUGAUGAGCUGCUGGGAGUUGCCAACAUUUUGUCUGUUGUCAAAAGUGGAGGAAAUCUGUCAUUAUUUUGAAAGAUUAUACCACUGUUUGUGGCAUUCAGUACGAGUGGAUUGCAACCAGGGACUAAAGCACUCCAGCGCUCCAGUGAUAAGCGAUACAUCGCCACUGCACACUAAUCUGGCCCCUUUUGAAAAGACGCCAGCAGUGCACUGUGCUGGUUUCGGGAACAAAAGAAGCUUACAUAACACUGCACAAUCUGGGAUCUUUUUACAAGGCGGCAGGCCUGGCUGAAAUACGCCGGCGUUAGUGAAUGUUGUCUGUCAGCUUAGAGUCGCCACCAGAGAGUCGUUUGUGUGGGUGUAAACGUCCAGUAAAUGAAGUUAUGAAUUUUUAAAGAGUUUUGAAAACAAAAAAUACAAAAAAUUACCCGGCCCAGCAGAAUCAGCAUUGAAAAAGGGGCCCGACACGAAGUGGUUAACAAACAGGUCCAGUGGUAUCUGAUUUUAAGGAAGUACUAACACCCAGUCUGCAGCCGAUUUAAUGAAACUUGGUGUAACUUUGAACCAUGCAUAAGCACCACAAAUUUGUGCCGUAGUUGUGCAAUGCAUUUAGUUAUACGUUUUAUUUCUUGUUACGCUCCCACAAACUGUUCCCCUUUAUGCAUAUAGAUUAAAGUGUACACGCUAGUACACACACCACUUACCCCACACGGAGCGCACAAUAACCAUCUACACGCAGAUUACACGCAUUGCAUUCCACGCGCGACCCCGUUGCUCUAUGCCCUUGAACUUUAACUCCGAAGCACACUUCCAACUAAGUCAUUUUCCCCCAAAUCUUCCUCGGAGUCGAUCCUACUGUCAGUCGCACAUGUAACCUGUACAUUCGACCCACACAGACCCCCAACUCAUACCGUCCGUGUCCCGCCAACCCACACACCGAAAGCCUGUGUCCAGUCACGGCACAGCGAGGUCAAUUACCUCCGCUCACCCUCAGUUUUACCCUGUAAGAAUUAUGUGUAGAUUUCCUAGCCAUCCAGAGACUAAGUGUUGUACACAACCCAAUGUACCUAGAAAGGCUCACCCUUUCCUUUCCCUCGUUGACCAAGUUCCCCGUAGCUUACGCACGAACAGCCUUUCACCCUCCCGCUCCCAAACUUCUCAAGCAAGCAAGCAAGCGCAGUUUACGGUAAUGAUUGGGCUCAGGCUCACCACGUUGCACGUGCCUGCCACGGCGCCUGCGCCUGUGCAUUAAUGUGCAUUGCGCAUGCGCAUCGCUUGCUCAAAUGGUGCCCAUGCGAUUACAACGUUUUGUGUGUUUUCACAGUGAAGUUCGCCACCUUGCGCAGCUUCGCGGCGCUAUAUGAUCUUUGAUCAGUACUGAAACCAGAAAACAAUUCCAAAAGGCAAAACAGAUUCGCAUUCCCACCCUUCAGUUGUACUAAAAAUAUAUGACUCUUGCAUAUGUCAGUACAUUAGAUUUGUGCCCAUUUAGUUGAAAAUGUACUAUUUGUUGUGACUUGGCAUGAUACUUGGAGAAGUGUACAAGUGUGCAGCUUUGCCAGUUCAAUCCAGUUUAUAAUCAUAUUUUGUUUUUUUAAAUGUACCAAAAACAAUUUUUGUGCUUUCAGUGAAUUAUUGUGCAUUUAUAGUGAACAAUUUUAGCUCAAACCAGCAAAAAUAUCUUCCAAGUCGGAAGUAGAAAUGAUUUUUGGAAUGUUGAGGGAGGUUUUUUUUGGGGAGGUGGGCUAAUACUCUUUAUGAUACUAAAGUAAAUUGUUACUUGGAGGGCCUGAUUUUCAUAGAAUCAUUGCAAUGUUUAAAAUGUGGAAUCUUUUGUACAAGAAAAAUCUACAUAUACAAUAUGCAAUACGCUUAGUUGGUGUGUGCUUAUCAUGCUUGUGAGGUUGAUUUACAUUGUUUUUACCUAAAAUGUUUGCAUUAUUUGGUACUUUAUGCUCAAUUUUUUAUCAGUACUUUGUGAACUUUGGUAAUUUAUCAAACUCGUGCACAUUUUCCUAAUUGAUAUAUAUUUAUAUAUAUAUGCAGUGGUAAUAUUUUGUAUGCAGCCUUUUCUACCCCUCCACAUUUUUGUUAGAAUUGUGAUGUUAGAAUUUAGUUGUGUGAUGAAGUGUGAUGAUUUUAAAGUAUAUUGGGAAAUUUGGGAAUUUUAGUGAGUCUGAUUACAAUUAUGUUGACAAAAGCAUUUUAUCUUGGCAGCUGAUUUAUUUCAGUUUCAGGAAUAUCUUGUGCGUGACUGUACAGCAUCAGAAAUAAAUAGGUUGGCCUUAUGGAUCUGA